CCCUUAGAUGUUCUGGGCUGCACGCGCGCUACACUGAUGCGCUCAACGAGUUUUAACCUUGCCUGGAAAGGUUGGGUAAUCUUUUUAAAACGCAUCGUGAUGGGGAUAGAUUAUUGCAAUUAUUAAUCUUCAACGAGGAAUUCCUAGUAAGCGCGAGUCAUCAGCUCGUGCUGAUUACGUCCCUGCCCUUUGUACACACCGCCCGUCGCUCCUACCGAUUGAGUGGUCCGGUGAAGUCUUCGGACUGGCUGCACGCAUGUGUCUGCCGGAAAGUUGAGUAAACCUUACCAUUUAGAGGAAGGUGAAGUCGUAACA
rnacentral:rRNA from 1 species